GAUGAACGCUGGCGGCGUGCCUAAUACAUGCAAGUCGAGCGAACAGAUGAGGAUUUUUCUUCUCUGACGUUACCGGCGGGCGGGUGAGUCCCACGUGGAUAACUUACCUUUGAGGCUGGGAUCACUUCACGAACCCUGAUCUAACAUCGGCUAAUAUAUUGAAACUCGUGGUUCAUCGGAGCAAGCGCGUUUUGCUGACACUAAUAGAUGUAUCCUCGUCGCAUUAGCUAGUUGGUAAGGUAACGGCCUACCAAGGCAACGAUGCGUAGCCGACCUGAGAGGGUGAUCAGCCACACUGGAACUGAGACACGGUCCAGACUCCUACGGGAGGCAGCAGUAGGGAAUCUUCCGCAAUGGGCGAAAGCCUGACGGAGCAACGCCGCGUGAGUGAUGAAGGUCUUCGGAUCGUAAAGCUCUGUUAUUAGGGAAGAACAAAUGUGUAAGUAACUAUGCACGUCUUGACGGUACCUAAUCAGAAAGCCACGGCUAACUACGUG
rnacentral:rRNA from 1 species